rnacentral:lncRNA from 1 species
UGAAGAUGUGUUGACAUAUAUCUAUGAGUAUAAUUGAUAUAUACAUAACAUAUAUAAUCCAAAUGACAGCUCUAUGAGCGCAUGCAAAACUGUUCUACUCAUCACUAUUUUUCUACACUCACUUUGUUUUUUUUAGGGUUCCUCUCUCUCUCUCUCUCUCUCACUCAUUUCAUUGGUCUUCAAACCAAUAAUGGAAGAAGGUGAAGAUAUAUUGCAUUGUUUGUUGGGAUUCCAAUCUCUCUCUCUCUCUCUCCCCUAUAAAUCUCAAAACUUAAAAAAUUCUAUUUUAGAUAAGUUUUUGGAUUUAGUUUUGCCGUUUCAUCUCCUAUUUUAAAUUAUUAUAUUUCAUUAUGUUGGUUUGAAUCGGAUUUUAAUUUACUCUCGACAUUUCAAAAUAUACUUUCUUAUUUCAAAUUUCCAUAAAAUACUUGCGAAAUGGUAUAUUGGAUAAUUGAAAAUAGAAUAUUGGAAAAUGGUAUUUUUAACACUUUUCCCCCCCAAUAUCUUCUUCUUUUAUAUUAUGUUUCAACAAUUCUCACUCUUUCCAUUUGAUGGUCUUGAAAGCAAUAAUGGAAGUUGAAGAGAUGCCAUUGUUUUGUUGGGAUUGGAAGGCUCUUUUAUCUAUUUAUUUACUUAAUUAAUUCCCCUAUAUCUUUUGUCUAUAGAGAGGAGAGAAAUGACAUUCUUUCUAAGCUUGUGGAAAAGACAUGGGGAAAUAGGGAUCUUUCAACAAUGUUCAAAGUAAGGCUAUAGUAGCUAGCAAUGGCACAUGGUAGGGUCCCCUCAAAUGGAAAGAAAAUAAAAAAGACUUCCCCUUUAGGGCCCAUCUGCUCUAUCUCUUUUAUACAUGAUAUGUAUUUGUGCAAACUCUCCUAUGAAAUGGUGAACACAUUUUACCCCCAUGAUCCCUAGUUUUUCCUUUUACAAUAUAUGCUUCAUACAUCUUUUAUCUAGCCUUCAAAUCACCAAAUAUGGAGUUUUAUAUUCAAUAUAUUAUAUUCACCUAUUAUAUAGGUUAGUUGUGAUUGUAGAAUUAGGGUUUAGAGAAAGGUGUCAUAUAUAA